rnacentral:rRNA from 1 species
AACGAACGCUGGCGGCGCGUCUUAAGCAUGCAAGUCGAACGGUAAGGGCUGAGCUUGCUCCCCCCUAGAGUGGCGGACUGGUGAGUAACGCGUGGGUGACCUGCCCUGAAGAUGGGGAUAGCUAGUAGAAAUAUUAGAUAAUACCGAAUGUGCUCAUUUACAUAAGGGUAAAUGAGGAAAGGAGCUACGGCUCCGCUUCAGGAUGGGCCCGCGUCCCAUUAGCUAGUUGGUGAGGUAAAGGCCCACCAAGGCAACGAUGGGUAUCCGGCCUGAGAGGGUGAACGGACACAUUGGGACUGAGAUACGGCCCAAACUCCUACGGGAGGCAGCAGCUAAGAAUCUUCCGCAAUGGACGAAAGUCUGACGGAGCGACGCCGUGUGAAUGCUGAAGGCCGAAAGGUUGUAAAAUUCUUUUGCAGAUGAAAGAAAUAGGAAAGAA